rnacentral:rRNA from 1 species
AUUGAACGCUGGCGGCAAGCCUAACACAUGCAAGUCGAACGGUAGCACAGAGAGCUUGCUCUCGGGUGACGAGUGGCGGACGGGUGAGUAACGUCUGGGAAACUGCCCGAUGGAGGGGGAUAACUACUGGAAACGGUAGCUAAUACCGCAUAACGUCGCAAGACCAAAGUGGGGGACCUUCGGGCCUCACACCAUCGGAUGUGCCCAGAUGGGAUUAGCUAGUAGGUGGGGUAAUGGCUCACCUAGGCGACGAUCCCUAGCUGGUCUGAGAGGAUGACCAGCCACACUGGAACUGAGACACGGUCCAGACUUCUACGGGAGGCAGCAGUGGGGAAUAUUGCACAAUGGGCGCAAGCCUGAUGCAGCCAUGCCGCGUGUAUGAAGAAGGCCUUCGGGUUGUAAAGUACUUUCAGCGGGGAGGAAGGCGGUGAAGUUAAUAACUUCACCGAUUGACGUUACCCGCAGAAGAAGCACUGGCUAACUCCGUGCCAGCCGCCGCCGUAA